GAUGAACGCUAGCGGCAGGCUUAACACAUGCAAGUCGAGGGGCAACACGGGUAGCAAUACCUGGUGGCGACCGGCGCAAGGGUGCGUAACGCGUGAGCAACAUGCCCUAUACAGGGGGAUAAUCCAGGGAAACUUGGUCUAAUAUCCCAUAGUAUUUAGAGGUGGCAUCACCACUAAAUUAAAGCUUCGGUGGUAUAGGAUUGGCUCGCGUGACAUUAGCUGGAUGGUGGGGUAACGGCUCACCAUGGCGAUGAUGUCUAGGGGUUCUGAGAGGAAGACCCCCCACACUGGGACUGAGACACGGCCCAGACUCCUACGGGAGGCAGCAGUGAGGAAUAUUGGACAAUGGAUGGAAAUCUGAUCCAGCCAUGCCGCGUGCAGGAAGACGGCCCUAUGGGUUGUAAACUGCUUUUGAUGGGAGCAAUAAGGUCUAUGCGUAGACUGAUGAGAGUACCAUACGAAUAAGCAUCGGA
rnacentral:rRNA from 1 species